UUAUUAUGGAGACCAGAAACCAUCUCAAACGGGGCGUUUACCGAAAAGCCAUAUGAGUAGGAAAUUU
rfam:Chryseobacterium formosense strain LMG 24722 contig01, whole genome shotgun sequence.